rnacentral:tRNA from 1 species
GGCGGAUGUCAGCGGUUCGAGCCCGCUUAUCUCCA